rnacentral:rRNA from 1 species
UACGUAGGGACCAAGCGUUGUUUCGGAUUUACUGGGCGUAAAGGGCGCGUAGGCGGCUUAACAAGUCACUUGUGAAAUCUCCGGGCUUAAACUCGGAACGGCCAAGUGAAAACUGUCAAGCUAGAGUGCAGAAAGGGGGCAAUCGGAAUUCUUGGUGUAGCGGUGAAAUGCGUAGAUAUCAAAGAGGGAACACCUGAGGUGAAGACGGGGUUGCUGGGGCUGACACUGACGUGAGGCGCGAAAAGCCCAGGGGGGAGC